AUGAAAGCUAAAGAUUUCUUUUUCCAAUUCGGAACGUUCUCGGUCAGGGACGGCUCCCAAAUUCGAUUCUGGGAAGACACAUGGUUGGGGAACAUUCCUUUAAACGUGCAAUACCCAAGCUUAUAUCGGAUAGUUAGACACAAGUUUGUCACGAUUAAGCAAGUGUUGGGUCAAGAAAACCCAGAUAUUUCUUUUCGUAGAACGCCCGUUGGACCUCGUUUGGCAGCAUGGCAGGAUUUGCUAACCCGUUUGGGAGCAAUUCAGCUGUCUGAGGAACCAGACAUCUUUCGUUGGAAAUUGCAUCAAAGUGGAAAGUUUUCGGUAAAAUCCAUGUAUGAUGCAUUGGUACAUAACGAGGUUCCAAUUGAUAAUCGAAAACUGUGGAAGCUUAAGAUCCCUCUGAGAGUGAAAAUUUUCCUAUGGUUCUUUAAUAAGGGGGUUAUCUUAACUAAGGACAAUUUGGCACGACGAAAUUGGCAAGGUUGCAAAAAAUGUGUUUUCUGUCAUCAUGAUGAGUCGAUUAAACACUUAUUUUUUGAAUGCAAGUUCGCACGAUCUGUUUGGGCCAUUGUACAAAUAGCUUCCAAUUUAUAUCCCCCACGUAGUGCACGUAAUAUAUUCGGCAAUUGGUUGAGGGGUAUAGAUAAACAGUUUUCUGCUCACAUUCUUGUGGGGGCGGCUGCCUUAUGUUGGGCAUUCUGGCUCACCAGGAAUGAUAUUGUUUUUAACCAUGCAUCUGUUCCUUCUCCUUUGCAGGUUAUCCAUAUAUGCUCGCGAUGGCUCCGUACAUGGUCUAUCCUGCAGAAGCCGGAGGACAGAGACCUUUUUUUGAUGGCGUCUACCAGGCUGGAGCAUUCUGCCCGGGAAAUUUUCUACCCCCAUGGUUGGCGGUGUGAUCUUCGGAUUGAUUCAGUACCUUUAUAG
rnacentral:rRNA from 1 species